UGGUAAUUAAAUAAAAAUGUCUGAAAUAUAUUUUAAUUGUAGAGACAUUUUGCUUCUUCCUCGUACCUCUGCAGCCUCGCCGUCCUCCGCCGGCCGGAAAUCGUCUCCGCCGGCGGCGAUGCCCCAAAUCCACCCAAAAUUACAUCACAGGUGCUCCUCCGCCCCCUCUCCCCAUAUCUGGCCUUAGUUUUUUCCAAAUCCUAACCAAAACUCUCGAAUUUCAUAUCGAAAGUCCGGCCAAAAACGCAAAAUAAUCCAAUCUCAACCAAAUUAACACUGUUUGUUCUCCUCACUCUCCUCUUUACGAAUCCGUAGCCCUUGACCCUCGAAUCAUCUGGGAAGUUCGCGAAUAUUGGAUUAAAGGCCGCCCCAAAACUCUAGUUUCGUGAAUCGGGGUUUCUGUCGAUGGCUUGACCAUUAUAAGGUUUAGCCGUGUAUUUUCUCGUGGAAAACACACGGUUAAACACUAAUAUUGGUCAAGCAACUUCAAGCCAAGUCGUCUAAGGUCAGUUUCAAUUUAAUGCAUUAUGGCCGAAAUUAGUAAGUUUCUCGAUUUCUUUCUUCCUUUUCUUAUAUAAUCAUUUGUUUUGUUCCAAUUUUGAUUUGAAUUUCAGUAAUUGUUCCAUGUUAGUCUAAUUUUGAUUUGUUCUUGUUCUGUUUUCUUUAGUAAUUGUGAUGAUUAAGGUUUUCGAUUUAGUUUUGAUUGUAAAUUGUUUCUGAAUUUCAGUAAGUUCAAUAUUUUUGUUUUGAUAGAUUUUAUUCUAGUCUUGAUUUGAUUUUGUUUAGGUUUAGUUUUGAUUUUGAUUGGUUAAACAUUGGUUGAAUUUCCUAUUAGCUUUUAUUUCUCAGUUAGUCUAUUUGGUGUUUCAAAUCUGUUUUGGGUGUUGUUUGAUUUUGUUUGAAUGAAUUAAUACUUCUGUUAGUUUAUUUAGUUUAGUUUUACUUGUUCAUUCAAUUUAGUGCUCAUUUGCAAUUCAAUUAGGCUUAAGGUUUGGAUAUAGCUGAAUAAUUUAGCCUUCAAUUAACCUUGGUUGAUUUUUAACUAAGGCAAAAGGGGUUUGGGUUGUUUAGUAAUUUCAGAGAGUGGUCAAGGGUAGUUUGGGCAUGGGAAAGGGCUGGUUUGUUAAGAAUUAGUAAUUUUAGAACCCAAAUAAGGGUAGUAUAGGUAUUCCAUAGGUAGAAGAACACCCUAGGGCCUUGUAGAAAGGGGCCUUAGUGUAAGUUUCUGCAUUUUCAGAGCAGUAACUUGGGCAACAAGCCACAAAUUCAGGGAUUAAUCACCAAUUCUGAAAAUAAAAAGGGGGGAAAAUGUUUGAGAGUUUCCAGAACAUUCUGCCCUUUUAUUGCCUAUAAAAGGCAGCCCCAAUGCCUUCAUUUACAAGUUUACACACCCCUGAAAAUUCCCAAAAGUUUGGAAGCUCAAAAAUUUCCCCCCAAAAGGGCCCUCUCAACAAGUCUAAGCAGAAUUCAAAUUUCAACCUAGAUCUGAUUUCUAAUAGUUCAAACUCUCUUUUAGAUUUCAAAUUUCCAAAAUCUCAAAAAAGAAACAAAAACAAAAACAGAAAAUAUGAGAAAAUUGCAAAAAGAAAUGCACUAUUACAUUGGUUUUUGAUUUAGUUUUGUUCGAUUUUCUUCUCUUUUGAUUAUUGGAGUUUCUGGAUCAUGCUGGUUUGGUAUUGAGCAGUUUUGGUUUAAGUAAACUGGGUUUUGUUUGAGUUUGGUGUUUGCUGAGUAUUUCUGGAUGCCUUUUGAGUUUACUGGUUUGCUGUGGUGCUGUUUUGGUCAAUCCCUCUGUCCUAUUUGAUAUUUGGACUACUGCUCUGCUUUCUGGGUUAAAAUUGUUGUGUUGUUGCUGGAAAUUCUCAAUCGUUGCUGCUGCUGCUAACUUCUCCUCUUCUUGUUGCAUUCUAAUUCCCAGGUACUUGGCUCGACUAUGAAUGACGUUUGUGAUCUCAAGCUUAAUAUAGCCAAUUGAAAAGAAAUUGAAGUGCCAGUUGUCUAUUUGUUUCAGUUUGCAUACAGUUUCAUAUUUGUGUUCAUGUGAAAUUUUAUAAUGUGUAUAUCAAUUAGGACUGUCUGAUUAAGAUUACUUCUCCUGCCAUGGACUGUUGAAAUUUGUACUCAAAUCAGAUCUCUUAGGGCUGUUAAUUGAUGUUUGUUAUUCGUGGACACAGCGUGGUCUAAUGUUUGGUUUUCAUGGUAAUACUGGGUAAGCAUAUGGAAUCAGAAUGAGGUUGAGUUUGCAAUCAAUUUAGAAGUAUGCUCUACUGUAAAUAUGAAUAAAUACUUAUGUGCUAAUUUGAGUAUUAGCUAAAAACAAGUCACAAAUGAGCAUGUGAAUCUCUUAGCCGGUUUGGAUUCAGUGUCGCCUUAUGAUCUUCAUGAAAUUAGCUAUAAACAGGUUUAGUUAGAACUCUUUUAGUAUAUCUGGUUUCUGUCAAUGGAUUCUACUUCACAUUGUCACUAUUAAAAAUGCAUGAGGUAGAUUCAAUUGGUUAAUUGAAAUGAAACAAACAAAAACAAAGUAGCUGCUCAUGUAAUAAGCUGAACUGGGCAGGCCACCAAUACAAUAAGUUUGGGCCUGUUUCCGUUGAACAUGGCCCAUGUCUGGGUUUAUUUUCUCUCUACGCAAUCACAAGCAAAAUGGCAUAGGGCCGGUAUUAAAGCCCAAAUGCUGAAGCUUCAAUGAAGUCAUAGACUUAAUUUUAAUCCUUAUUUGGAAAUGAAGUAACUCCUAAAUAAUAAUGAUUAAUUAGGAUUUUUAUUUUAUUAGAGACAAAUAAUUUAGAAAAAUCAUAGUUUACUUUAGAGUGUACCUUUAAAUAAGCCAUGAGACGAGCCUCGCCUAAUAAAAUAAAGAAAUUGCGGGGCCCUCGGUAAUUGGUUAUAAUAGAUAAGUAGAAUUCGGGAUAGGCCGUUUAGUGAAUUUCACGGCCUUCCCCAAAGACAAUAACGUGUUAGACUCUUUAAGCGCGAUUUUAAUCAAAUUACAUUCCUAAACUCGGGUGCACAUUUAUGUGACCCAAAUCCAAAUCUCAACGGAUGUCGAAAUGUGUCAAUAACCACGGGUGCAUUGAUGUGAUGUGGUUCGAGACGCGUUUUCACGACGUUGCAAUUCUUUUAAAAAAUAGUGAUAAAAGCGGUUUAAAGUUAAUAAAAGCACAUAAAGUUGACAUGUAUUAAAAUCGAACUCUUAACCAUUUACAACAAUUUAAGCGACCGUGCUAGAACUACGGGAUCCGGGGGUGCCUAACACCUUCCCUCGGGUCAACAAAAUUCCUUGCUUAGAAUUUCUGGUUCGCAGACUCCAAUUGGAAGUCGACAAUUUUCCUCGGUUCGGGAUUCAAGAUAAACCGGUGACUUGGGACACCAAAAGUCAAACCUUUCCCAAGUGGCGACUCUAAAUAAAUAAAUAAUUCCGCUCCGAAUAAUGUCACUUUAAAUGAAAAAACUCCCUUAUACAUUAUCCUCCGGGGUAGGUGUGUAAAAAGGAGGUGUGACAAUUUGUGGUUGGUUGCUUGGAUUUUGUUUGGUUUUAAAAACUCCCUGAACAAUUGGACUGGUUCUGGCUGUUGUGAGCUCUCAUUACUUGCUGCUGACCUUCUCUUCCUCUGUUGUUAUUCAAAAAACCAGGUACUCAUUCCUAUCCUGAUUGUGUUGGUGCUGAUUUGACGUGGACAUGCAAUAAAAUGGAUCUCUCAUUUGCUCCUGAAAGUUAUGCCUGUCGAUCUGUGCUGUUUAGUUUACUUGUUUAGUGUAAUUUGAACUUUGAUGUUUAUACACAUGAAUUUGACUGUAUGAUUGGGACUGUUGGAACUACUAAUUCGUAGAAUUCAUUCGGUAGUAUUAUGGGCUAGUGUAGUGUUAUACUCAAUCAG
rnacentral:lncRNA from 1 species